GGCCGUGUGGCGUAAUGGCAACGCGUCUGACUACGAUAGCUGGAGAGUGGGCUGAAAGUAAUCAGGAGAUUGCAGGUUCGACCCCUGUCUCGGUCA